rnacentral:rRNA from 1 species
CCUACGGGAGGCAGCAGUGAGGAAUAUUGGUCAAUGGACGAGAGUCUGAACCAGCCAAGUAGCGUGAAGGAUGACUGCCCUCUGGGUUGUAAACUUCUUUUAUAUGGGAAUAAAAUGUUCCACGUGUGGGAUUUUGUAUGUACCAUAUGAAUAAGGAUCGGCUAACGCCGUGCCAGCAGCCGCGGUAAUACGGAGGAUCCGAGCGUUAUCCGGAUUUAUUGGGUUUAAAGGGAGCGUAGGUGGAUUGUUAAGUCAGUUGUGAAAGUUUGCGGCUCAACCGUAAAAUUGCAGUUGAAACUGGCAGUCUUGAGUACAGUAGAGGUGGGCGGAAUUCGUGGUGUAGCGGUGAAAUGCUUAGAUAUCACGAAGAACUCCGAUUGCGAAGGCAGUUCACUGGACUGCAACUGACACUGAGGCUCGAAAGUGUGGGUAUCAAACAGGAUUAGAUACCCGAGUAGUC